UAAUGUUUUUUCUUCUUCUUCCAAAACCAAUAUAUUUAAACAGAUUAAUUUCUACUAACAUGCCUAAAAUACUUGUCCACGAACCCCUUGAUACCAGCUCACCAGCACUACACCUGCCACACACUGAGCAACAAACACCAGUGCAGCCCAAUGCUUUCAUGAUCGGGAAGGGCCCGAUGAGGCUCAGACGGUGAGGGCAUCCGUUCAAGAUCAACCACCUCCGGCUGACCUACAAUGUAGGUCCUGGACCCAGGCCACUGGCCUUUCCACUAUGUCCGAACACCUCUGCUCAACUUCAUGGCUCUUCCUUUUCUGGCUUAACGAAGGCUGGAGGAGGACAGCUUCAUGGAGGAAGUGGACCUGGAACUACGCACUGACCAGGUCAAGAGCAGUGAGCAUUACAGCAUAGCAUUUAUUUGCUUCUCUUCCUGCCAAGACCCUAACUGGCACCAAUCAAUCCCCACUUCUCCUUCCAGUGAUGAUUCUUCAAUCAACAUGUAAGCUCCAUCAGGACAGGGAUGUCUGUCCUGUCACUCCAGCCCAAAGAAAACGGAUUUAACACAGAGCAGGGAAAGUCUUUACUGCCAGAGUCCGAAAGAAGGGACUUGGAUCCAGUAUGUUAGAAUCACCUGGGGUCUUUGUUACAAAUGCCCCAGCCCAGAUGGACUGAACAAGAAUUUCUAUGGAUGGCACUCAGGAAUCUGCAUUUUUAGCAAGCUCCACAGGAAAUUAUUGAAAAGAGCAAAUUGUACCUUUGGAGAUGGGUAAACCACUCUCUUUAUCUGAAUAUCUCAGCUGUUCUCCCCACAAUACCCAUCCUCUCACACCUCCUCCUGCCAAGAAUCGGGAGAAUCUCAGGAACAGCACUCCACUUCAAGCGUGGGGAUGUGGGAAGAGGCGGCCCUACACCUCACUCUUGGCAGCGGCCUGAGCAGCUUUCCAAGUUGAAAGGAAACCGAGAAAAGAUGGCUCUUUCUUUUGGCCUCUGGCACGACCCACUCCCUGCUCCAAGGCUGUGUUUUGGUAUGUGGGGUCAAUCAUACCUGGCAAAUCACCACAAGUAACAGUCCUCAGCA